rnacentral:rRNA from 1 species
CCUACGGGAGGCAGCAGUGGGGAAGAUUGGACAAUGGGGGGAACCCUGAUCCAGCCAUGCCGCGUGUGUGAAGAAGGCCCUCGGGUUAUAAAGCACUUUCAGUGAGGAAGAACGCCUGGUGGUUAAUACCCAUCAGGAAAGACAUCACUCACAGAAGAAGCACCGGCUAACUCCGUGCCAGCAGCCGCGGUAAUACGGAGGGUGCGAGCGUUAAUCGGAAUUACUGGGCGUAAAGCGCGCGUAGGUGGCUUGAUAAGCCGGUUGUGAAAGCCCCGGGCUCAACCUGGGAACGGCAUCCGGAACUGUCAAGCUAGAGUGCAGGAGAGGAAGGUAGAAUUCCCGGUGUAGCGGUGAAAUGCGUAGAGAUCGGGAGGAAUACCAGUGGCGAAGGCGGCCUUCUGGACUGACACUGACACUGAGGUGCGAAAGCGUGGGUAGCAAACAGGAUUAGAUACCCGUGUAGUC